AACGAACGCUGGCGGCAUGCCUAACACAUGCAAGUCGAACGAGACCUUCGGGGCUAGUGGCGCACGGGUGCGUAACGCGUGGGAACCUGCCCUUAGGUUCGGAAUAACUCCCCGAAAGGGGUGCUAAUACCGGAUAAUGUCUUCGGACCAAAGAUUUAUCGCCUUUGGAUGGGCCCGCGUUGGAUUAGCUAGUUGGUAGGGUAAAAGCCUACCAAGGCGACGAUCCAUAGCUGGUCUGAGAGGAUGAUCAGCCACACUGGGACUGAGACACGGCCCAGACUCCUACGGGAGGCAGCAGUGGGGAAUAUUGGACAAUGGGCGAAAGCCUGAUCCAGCAAUGCCGCGUGAGUGAUGAAGGCCUUAGGAUUGUAAAGCUCUUUUACCCGGGAUGAUAAUGACAGUACCGGGAGAAUAAGCUCCGGCUAACUCCGUG
rnacentral:rRNA from 1 species